rnacentral:rRNA from 1 species
GUCUAUGGCCUUACCACCCUGAACGCACCCAAUCUCAUCUGAUCUCGGAAAUUAAGCAGGGUCAGGCCUGGCCAGGACUUGGAUGGGAGAAUGUCUUUACAGAUAAUGAAGUCAUGUUAGAAA